AUCAUCCAUUUAAAAACCCUUCUUUUGCUCUCUGUCAGUCUCAUAUACCCAUGAUUUGCAAUAUCAGCUACAACCAAAUUAACGUAUCUUAUUCAAUGUGACAGUUCAUUCUUCGUACUUCAUAUGAAUAUUUCUUUUUUUUCUUUUGUCAUUCCCUUUUAAUAUAGUGAUACUACACUCUAUAUUGAAUAUUAGUUCAAAUAUUGCAAUCUGGUCUCUUAUAAUUUUUUGUCAGUGUGGCAUGCAUAUAUGGCAAGUGUUAUAUGGAUAUCAAUAUCUGCUAGCUUAAAAAUGAUACAUAUAUUAUUUAUGGCAACCAGUCAACAAUCUUUUUUUAUUUCUUGGAUAUCGAAUCAGUGCUAUGAGUCACUGGCUGUUGGUUAUGACAAAAAUUACAUGUGUACAUAUUGGUACACCUGUAAAAUAAGUGUGCAUUGUUGUGUACACGUGACAAAAAUUACAUGUGUAAAUAAUAGUGCACCUGUAAUACAAGUGUACAUUAUCGUGCACAUGUGAUAAAUUUCAAGCUGGUGGACAGUGGACAUUAUCGCAUAAGAUUACAAUGGCUGGUUAUGGGUGUGGAUGGUCUAGUGCUCAUGCAACUUUCUGGUACUAUGGUCAGGAACAACAAAUGCAGAACUUUUGAGGGCCUCACUUAGUCCAGUAGAGUACAUUGCCUCACUGUUUAACUCAGAAGAUGAGUUGAAGAUGAUAGAGGAGGUUGUGAGCACAUUUUCUUUUGAAAUCACCUUAUGUUGCUAUGCUUGCAUUCCAAGAUGCUGCAACACGGUGCAAGGGGUAAACAUGUUGGUGUAUCAGAGUAACUCUCAUGAAGAAGUAGGUCCGAGUGGGUGUAUGAGUGACUAUUUUCAUGCAUGUUUUGUAGAUGUGUACAAAAUGGUGCACAUGUGAAAAACUGAUUGCAUAAGCUUAUGAAUUUUUGUACACAGUUAAUUGAGCGAUAGUUAAAUUUUUUAAAAACUCAAAAUUGUAUAGACAUAUGGGUACUCUUUUUGUAGAUUUCGGAAAGAGCUUUCCAAAUAUGUAAAGUUUGUGAAUUUUUGAUGAACGGUGUGAAAGAUAAAUCAUUUUUAAAUAUUUUUUAUAUUAUUAAAAUUGCU